ACUGACUGAGAUACCAACAGCGUGAGCUAUGAGAAAGCGCCACGCUUCCCGAAGGGAGAAAGGCGGACAGGUAUCCGGCGGU
rnacentral:misc_RNA from 1 species